ACUCCAGAAAUUUGCGAUUUACAAACCAAGCUUUCCAAAAGCAGUGAGGAGCGAGAAGAUUUCUGGUUCCUGUAUUCAUUGAGUCAGUUGAGUUAAUCGAUAUCAGACCUACUGAGCUAUCAGGCUAAAGCUUAAAACAGAACUGCUGUCACUGCAAUCCAAGUAGAUUGGUGUCUCUGACUCUGAAUCAAGCAAUACAUCUUUGAGGCAUUUGGUGGUUGAGUUCUUGGGUGCACUGCUUGUUUCCAUGUUUACAUAAAUUUGAAGAUCUUGUGCUUCUGGACUUCUUACUCCUGUUAAACAGAAAUACAUUUGGAUGAGAACGAGCUUAGCGAAAUUACGAAAAGCGUUAUUCUACAAUUCAGAGGGCUAGGAGCCUAGGACAAUGUGUUGUAAAGUAAGAUAUGCUGCUGGCCUCAUCUCCAGAAGACAUAAUCUGAUAAUACAUAAGCCAAGCUUUGUAUCUCCUCGCCAUCUUUACCAUCACAGCAUAGACCUCAUUCUCGGAUGUAAAUUCCUCUGAAUGUGGUUUGUGGUCAAAGCAUAAGACGGAUAAUCGUCUGCAGAGGUCUGUAGCAAUUUCAGUGUGAAGAAGCCUAGGAGAAACCACAAGAGCUUGAAGAAAAUGCAUUGCAACCUGCCACUCAUCCCCUUGGAGCUUUCUAACAACGGAGAGGUAAAAGUAAGAGUAGCCUAUCAAAUAACUGUUUGGAAUUCCUGCUGUUUCUCCAUGCUCAUCAAGUGAGGCUGGUACUUGAAGCAUGUUCUCUGAAUUCUGUAGCCUUGAGGUUCUCUCUUCACUCCAUUUUGCUGCUUGAAGUGCUGCUUCUAUACUCUCUAUCCCCCAAUAAAGAUUCGACAAUAUUGACUGCUCCGAGAACUCGAGAUACCCUCUAUUACUACAAACAUCAAACUUGGAACUGCAUUUCAGUUUCAAGCAUUUCCAAGAUUUUGUAUCUGCAAGCAAUGCAGUUAUGUGCUGAUUGAUAACAGCGACGACUGCACGUACCGACUCAAGGUCUAGUUUGUCAUCUUCAUAUGAAAAUACAGGAGAAGGGGUAGUAGCAGAAGAAGAAGAUACAGAAGCCAUUGAAUUAGUAUGUGACAUUUUGGCCUCAUGAAGAAGUACAAGAACAAGGAGCAAAUUAAAAUACUGUUACAGAUGAGUAAUAGAGUGGCUUUUUAUGUAUUCUUUGCUCGUGAUUGUUGCCAACUUCUGAUUCUUUAGGGACCCUCUUUUUCUUCUGAAAAAAUAUGCUACAGACAAAGAUAUGGCCAUUAAAGGAGGGAAAGUCUUACAGAAAUAAAGGACAGAUGUUUGAGGUUGUUA